GCAUUUUCAAUUUUUGAAAUGUCGUUUCCUUUUAGUGAAACUCGUAUACGUUCAAAAGAAUUCUCAUAAAUAUAAUUAUAAAACAAUUACGUUCUUUGAUUUUAAAAUCAGUAAAAUUAAUUCACAUAACAUAUAAUUUCGUCUAUGAUAAUGCUUUGGAAAUAAGAGAUCUUUUCUUCCACAUUACAACUCCAAAGAUUACUGCAAUGAAUCCAUUUUGCAUUGUGAAACCACAAAAUACCUCAAAGUACCUGGAUCCACAGUUUCAUUGAAGUUAUCAGGUAUAGAGACGAAUUAAGCAAGCACAGCAAAAUAUUUUCUUCCCUAUCUAAACUAAAGAUGUGGUAGAAAAAGUAUUCAAGAGACAUACUAUGAUCCUAUCUACUUUCCACUGUUGCUGAUUAAUAGUGACAUUUCACAUGAAAAAAGUAUUCAAGAGGAACCUGUUACUGCUGUUAAAAAACGCAACUACCCUGAGACUGUAUAAGCGAUUCACUCGCACGCCACGUAACUGAUUAUAAAUUCCAUGAGGAAUGUUGAAAACAUUCAAGUCAGAGGCGCAAGCUUUUUGCUAUGGGCGCAUUUUACGACACAAAAUAAUGACCGCCGUCUGUAUCUGCCCUCUGUUAGCCGCGCAAGGAAGGAAAAGUAAUUGCGUUUCGUCCUGGAUUUACUAGAGGGCUUCGAGCCAGUGGGCGUGCGCCAGAGAGUCUGAAGUUUGACUUAUAAAUACAGUAAUACCUCACGAAAAGAUGGAAUUUAUAUUUGACAUUCGAGAUCAAAAGUCAUGAUCACUGUUUGUUUUUUUUUUUCCAGCUCGGUCUCAUCUUUUAUAAUACGACAUUUAAACACAAUAACGUUAUGUAGAAAUCCAAACGAGUGUUUCAAAAUUUGGCCUCUGCAUAAAGUUUUGUUUAAAUUAGUCAAAUUAAAGGUAUUAGAUUAAGAGG